rnacentral:rRNA from 1 species
GGUUAAGCGACUAAGCGUACACGGUGGAUGCCCUGGCAGUCAGAGGCGAUGAAGGACGUGCUAAUCUGCGAAAAGCGACGGCGAGGUGAUAUGAACCUUUGACCCGUCGAUGUCCGAAUGGGGAAACCCAGUGUGAUYCGUCACACUAUCGUUAACUGAAUACAUAGGUUAACGAGGCGAACCGGGGGAACUGAAACAUCUAAGUACCCCGAGGAAAAGAAAUCAACCGAGAUUCCCCCAGUAGCGGCGAGCGAACGGGGAGCAGCCCGGAGUCUGAAUCAGCUUGUGUGUUAGUGGAAGCGUCUGGAAAGUCGCACGGUACAGGGU